AAAAAUGAUAACCCAUCAACAAUUAUGUGACGGCCCCAGGCCUGGGUGUUGUGUAUAGUGCACUGUUGGUGGUUGUCUGUUUGUUUGUUUUGCAGGUCUGAUGCAGUGGUCAUUAGGUUGACAGGGAGCACCUGGCCAGUGUUCCCAGUCGGGCCUAUUUAACCCCGCCUUCUUUGACGCCAUCUCUCUCUGUUCGGUACUCCACGCAGCACCUUGCCAGCGUGCUGGUUUUCCUUUUGUUUGUAGUUAUUUUCGCACUUACAACAUGCACUUCACAUUAACCAUUACACCCAUACACUUUCCUACACCACUGAUACUGACUUCCACAUCCCACAUGAUUUGAGUUUUCCUUAUGAGUCUUAUUUACUUUAAUUAAACUUUGUUUAAUUAUUAACUAAGUUUGGUUGCACAUCUCCUCUUUUGUUGCGGCCCACGAGCCGGUCGUAACAAAUUGGGGGCUCGUCCAUCUCGAAGGUCGGUUUUUUUUUUUGUAGUUGUUUAGUAGUAGUUUUUUGUUGUUUGGUUGAGCGCUUUUGUUACGUGAGAGCACACGUCAGGUAAGUGGCGGUGCGUGAGGAAAUCCCUUAAAUCGAGAGGUUGGGCUCGCGUGUGAAAGUGACGUCAUGAUGGGGAUUCCCUUUGUCACGGAUAACGUAGUUCACCUUAUAUGGUGAGUUUGAUUGCGCGCGGGAGAUGUGCGUUUAGGUAAGUUGGUGCACCUGUGCAGCUCUACUAGGAGUCGAGGAGAAGUGGUUGUUGUUGUUUGCUGUCUCAAAUUGUGAAUAUUUACGGAGGCAUGAGAAGUGAGUUGGUGUCGGAGCAGCAUGCUGACAGUUCCCUCAAGAGUUUGCUGGACGUGGUGCGGCCUUCUGGGGAGCUUCAAGGAUCCAGUUGCUGAGGCAGUGGGAGAACGGAAGAUUGUAGGGGACAUAAGCGGUGAGGUAUUUAGUAUUAUUGCAGUUAUUAGUAUUGUGUUAGGAGUGUAGUUUUCAGUAAGUAUAGAGGUACCCUAUA